GCGUGAGGGAAGACGGCCUUUGGGUUGUAAACCUCUUUUCUCAAGGAAGAACAAAUGACGGUACCUGAGGAAUCAGCAUCGCUAACUCCCUGCCAGCAGCCGCGGUAAUACGGAGGAUGCAAGCGUUAUCCGGAAUCAUUGGGCGUAAAGCGUCCGCAGGUGGCUAAUCAAGUCUGCUGUCAAAGGUCAGGGCUUAACCCUGGAAAGGCAGUGGAAACUGAAGGGCUAGAGUACGAUAGGGGCAGAGGGAAUUCCCGGUGUAGCGGUGAAAUGCGUAGAUAUCGGGAAGAGCAUCGGUGGCGAAAGCGCUCUGCUGGGUCGUAACUGACACUGAGGGACGAAAGCUAGGGGAGCGAAUGGGAUUAGAUACCCCUGUA
rnacentral:rRNA from 1 species